GUUUCCUGGAACAGAGAACAAGGUCGUCAUAUACUCUCAGACUGGCUAAAAAGAUAAGGACAAAGGUGUUGCUAGGAUGUGGACAUUUAAAAAAUUUUAAAAACCCACUGCUCCAUCUUCAGAGUAUGAUGAACCCUGGCGGUCCUUGGACUGGAAGUAAGCUCUGAAGACCUUUUUCCAAGUUAAGCUUAUUACUCUGAAAAACUUGAUUCUGAUUGUUUAAUCACAACAUUCCAUGGUCAUAUUUGUGUAAUGACAACUAAACUGAAUGACCAUUGUUUCAGGCAACAUUUUUCCU